CCUACGGGUGGCAGCAGUCGAGAAUUUUUCUCAAUGGGGGAAACCCUGAAGGAGCGACGCCGCGUGGAGGAUGAAGGCUUUCGGGUUGUAAACUCCUGUCAUUUGAGAACUAGUAUCAGAAGAGGAAGGGACGGCUAACUCUGUGCCAGCAGCCGCGGUAAUACAGAGGUCCCAAGCGUUGUUCGGAUUCAUUGGGCGUAAAGGGUGCGUAGGUGGCGCCGUAAGUCGGGUGUGAAAUUUCGGAGCUUAACUCCGAAACUGCAUUCGAUACUGCGGUGCUUGAGGACUGGAGAGGAGACUGGAAUUUAUGGUGUAGCAGUGAAAUGCGUAGAGAUCAUAAGGAAGACCAGUGGCGAAGGCGGGUCUCUGGACAGUCCUGACACUGAGGCACGAAGGCCAGGGGAGCAAACGGGAUUAGAUACCCUUGUAGUC
rnacentral:rRNA from 1 species